GACGAACGCUGGCGGCGUGCUUAACACAUGCAAGUCGAACGGAAAGGCCCGGCUCUUGUGGGGUGCUCGAGUGGCGCACGGGUGAGUAACACGUGAGUAACCUGUCCUUGACUUUGGGAUAACUUCAGGAAACUCGGGCUCAUACCCCAUAGGAGCUCCUGCUGCACGUUGUGGGUUGGAAAGUUUCGGCGGUUAGGGAUGGACUCGCUGGUUAUCAGCUUGCUGGUGGGGUGGUGGCUUACCAAGGCUUUGACGGGUAGCCGGCCUGAGGGGGUGACCGGCCGCACAGGGACUGAGGGGAGGCCGAGACUGCUACGGGAGGGAGAAGUGGGGAAGAUUGCAGGAGGGACGGAGGCCUGGUGAAGCAGCGCCGCGUGCGGGAAAACGGCCUUCGGGUUGUAGAACACUUGCGCAUGUGACGAAGCGUGAGUGGCGGUAAUGUGUAAAGAAAACCCGGCUAACCACGUG
rnacentral:rRNA from 1 species